UUUGCUUCAAAUAAGAUUCAAUUUAGAGGAGCCAUCCGACACGGAAACUGCUUCAGUCUCUUCUCCCACAUCGACCAAACUAACGAGCACCAUCUUAAACUGAUGCCUGUUUGUUUAAAUUCUGUUUUACAUGACUUGGACGGCAAAGCUUUGAGAGUUGCCAAAGUUGGAUUUACUUUUUGCCACUUCAGGCAGUCCCAGCGGUGGUAUUUAGACCAAUGAUGUCUUUAUUCUAAAACAAAUGAGCCGAUUAUAUUUUGUCUGCAUGAUUAUUGUCUCGGUUUUAUUGACAGAACCCGUGAAAACGGAGAGUCUGUAAAUAACAAACUGCGAAAGGUAUCCAUUUACCGAGGAUCCAGCUUCAAAUGGAUUGUGCUGCUGACGGCAAGACACUCCUCUCACACAUGUGUAAAAACUGGGAUGAAAGUUGACUUUAAUCCCAUCUCUGCCUUCAUGAAGUCCUUCAUUCAGAUAGGGGGAUACUGACCCGGAGGUCUCCAAGUUCCCGGCCUAAUUAACCCUCCAGACCCGCGCAGGAGCCAAUGUUAACCAUGCUAAUCAACUUCAAGAGUCUGAUUGAAUUAGAUGACUGGAAUCAGGACAGAAACUAAAUUGCCCCCACUUAAAAAAAACACCAUGAAGAGAAAUGUUUUUUUUUUUUUUAACAACUGACUCAAUUUAAAUUAACAUAAAAUGUAAAAAUAGAGGUAUUAAUUUCAGAUAACUAAACCUAGUUAACCGUCAACAGGUUUCAGCUGUUUCUAAUAUAAAAUGUAACAGCACACUUUCAAUAUUCAAAACUGUCUUUUACAGCCACAAAUUGUUUUGUCCUGCUUGAUAAAGAUCACUUGAUUGAUGGCGGUUGUGCCCCAUAUGUCAUCGCAGUUUUAUCUGCUGCAUUGCAUAAUAUCAAUCAGUAGCCUACCCUAAAGGCUGUAUUCCUCCCCUCUUUAUAGCAGUGCUUCAUUGUAAUGUUGCUUAUAUGCAAAGAUGAAAAAACUAGACCAAUUAGCUAUUCAAAUGUGUGCUUAAACAUUGGCUUCAUUUAGGUGAAGAAUAUUCACUGACAUAAUUUAAGUUUCAAGAAGUUACUUUAGACUCAUAGCAAGAUAUUCAGGAAGAAAUAAAAGUAACCUAAGAAAAAUAUUCUAUAUAAAAGGAUAUUUAACAUUUAGAUUUUAAUGAUAUAACAUUUUUGGAAAUUGUGUGGGCAUAAAAUGAUUAGCUCAAAAGUAGUGCUAUUUAAUUUUUUGUUUUUUGACAUACAGGUUUCAUCCUGAUAAUCUUUGCUGUGUGCAUAUUCUUACAGCCUAUAUUUUCUUUUGAUAUGACUUUCUUCGUGGUUGAAUAAGUGACUCUUAAGCAUGGCUUUUACAGACUUUAAUGACACAGCUAUGUCUUGUCCUUCAGGCUUCUUAAUAAUAUGUUAUUACAGAAAAUUGCAUUCCAUUAUCACAAUUAACAUCCCCUUAUUGUAAAUAUGUGUGUCUGUGUGUGUGUGUGUGUGUGUGUGUGUGUGUGUGUGUGUAAGCGAUUUAUUUGUUUGCAUGCACAAGUAAGUUAUAUAGAGGCAUGUAUAGUGUGAGAUAAAGGUUUACACCAUUCACCUUUUUAUGCUUCAGUGUUAGCAGACAUACAUAUGUCUUAGAUGAGACAUAAAGAGUUCAUUCAGUGGCGUAGAUCACUUUCUCUCCGUCUGCGUGCCCCAAGGGCCACUAUCUAAAAAGGCAAUAGAUCCCAGAUAGCUCACUGUGUUCAAUUUGCCAAUGAUAGAUUAUAGUGACAAUUUAAACAGAUAUGGAUCAAUUUGUCUCAAUGAUAACUCUUUAGGCUGACUGCCAGCAUGCUCUUAAUGUAUUUGUAAACGCUGGAUGUUUGAAUCGCGGCUGUUGAAGUGAUCAAAACUGUAGAAUGGAGAGAAGAUAUGAGAAGUGAUAAAUGAUGUGUUGUUUUGGCUGCUAAAGACUGCAUUGAUGGAGCAUACAUGAUGAUUACUAGAGGCAGCAGCAAUGACCAAGAGGUCAAUGGUUUAACUCCAAGGACUUGCUGGGAAAGUCUGGGUAGGGCAAUUGUGUGAUAAGUGCUCUCUAACCCCCAGGAACUACUGCUGAAGUACCCUUCGGCAAAGCAGCUUAAACCCCAUCUGUCCCAGUGGAGCUGCACAGCGACCGGCAGUACAAGACUGCGGUUUUACUGGUCACUUGCGAGAUGUGUCUCUUUGAGUGUGACCUACCCUCCCUUUUUUUUUUUUUAAAUAGGGAGAGUGGGCAGUCCACUCGCCUCACACUUUUUUUUCAUGUACUCAGACAGUGAAAAAGUUUUGGAGAAGACACAAGAGAGAAAGCUGUGGCAGCAUUCAGUCCUGAGCCAGACACAGUUCACAUGUGGCCCCAAAGGCAGCAGACGGUGUAUUGAAUUACUGUAACUCAAGGUGUAAUGUGGUAGCAGUGUGGGAUAUGUAAGAAUUACACAAACGGAUGUAGAGGAGGCUAACUUCAGCCUCAGCUUUCUAUUACAGCUAUAAAAUGUUCAACUGCAUGCUUUAUUUUUCUUACAUGUCACCUAUAACCAUUCAUUAGUUGAAAAGGCAAACACACUUUCUAUAGUCAUCAUCAAUGUCUCAUUAUCAUUAGAUCUACAAAUUAUAUAAAACUGCUAUUGCCAUGUGAAAACCUUGUAUCUCUGGGUUUUGUGAUUUUCAUGUGUUAAUUUACGGUAUGACAUGGUUUGUAGUACGAGGAGAAAACACUUCAAACCCAGCUGGAUCAACUUAAAACCAGAGCCGUGUUUCUUAUGUGCUGUGUAUAAUUGCAAUUUGCAGUGUCACACCUGCCACAUAUUUGACUAAUAAAGUUUUAAGACAUCAUAUGAGCUGUGUUUUAACAGUUUUUCUUAACACGGCACCUAAUGUUGUGCAAUUACAUUUCAAGAAGUGAUUUUCCCAGUUUUAUUGUGGUAGUUUACAAUAAAUGUGUUAUUAAAGCUUUCUUUCUUUCACUGGAAUUAUUCAACUGUAUGUGACAUGCUAUUAAAAUCUACAAUGAUAGGUUGGAAACAGUGAGAGUGCAGCUCCCUAUUUGUUUAAUUAUUCUGUUUAGCUAAAUUUGACUUUGGCUUCACUGAUUCUGCAGGAUUUCCAGAUAAAAAAAAUACAGUGGAGAUUUAGUGGGUACUGCAAGUUAUUGAAAAUAAGAAUAUUAUAUUCUACAUUGUACAAUGAUAUCAUCUUUCUGUGGUGCAAAUGUGCAUGAUUUAGAAAUGUGCAUGAUUGUGAAAAAGUUAGAGUACAGUACUCACGUUUCCUGAAAUUGAAACUGGAGUCAACACUAAAAUUAACAACAGUAACAUAUUAUAUCAGGCGCUUCUACCAGUUCCAAGCAUAAAGACUGCAGGCUGAGGAAUCAGUCAAGCCGAAAUGUUUUAACAUAAGAAUGCAUUUCUCUGUGAAAGUGCUGCAGACAUAAAUUGCAUCACUAUGAACAAAACCAGCAGCCUGUGAAUAUUGACGCUGUUAACUACAUCUCUACUUCCACAGGUACGGAUUCAGCAUUUGUGAAUGGAACAUAUUGUAUAGUAGCGACUGCAUAACAUAUUGUAUAAUAGCAAAUAUUGCCAUUUAAGGUUUUUCAAUCACACACAUUCCCAUGUGAUCAAUGGUCCUUGUGAACUGAUGGAGGGAAUAAAAAGUGAAUGGGAUUUGAUUACACCUUGACAACAGUGAUGACUCCUUCUUGGUGCGAAGAUGACCUCAAGGGGAAAAGCCAUUAAAUAAACAGGAAUCACUUAUUCACAGGAUCUUGGUUACUAUAUCGUCAUAUGAGGACACGCAGAAGCUGCUUCCAGAGCUCACAGCAUGAGAGUCAAUACUCCCAGGAUGAUGUCAUCAGAGUCAAAUCUUAGACUUGCUCCACUGACAAUAAAUUGAGACGGGAUUUGUGGACAUGUGAUAGUGCCCAGAGGUUAGACAAAGACAUGAAUUGAUGUGCUCUAAAAUACUUUCUCAGGUGUAAACAGAGGUAAAACAGUAUUUGUUUGUGAUGUGUAGUCCUGCUAAUUAACUAUCAUUAUCAGCAAUUAUAAACUUAUACAAAACUUGUGUCUGUUUUUGUGUCAUAUUUCACUAUUUUCACCAACACUAUUCUAAACACAUAAUUUCAAUGGCAGUUCUUAUAUCAUGCAACCAUUCUAUAACCAAAUGUCAGUAUUUGAAGAUGUUAUCCAUGUACAUUAGGAUCAAUCAGGACAGUCACAGUCCACUACUUGAUAUUAUGUAAUACCAGUGCAGAGGUCAACAAAGAGCACAUGAAGAAUAUGUGUUCUCCGCUGUACAAAGAUAAAUGUGUAUUUUCUGAAUGUGAACUGUCAAAAUAAAAUGCUACACUGCUGUAAUGUGAAGCUGACUUGAAA